CGUAGUGGUAACAUCCAUGCCUCUCACGCUAAGGGUCACGAGUUCAAUUCUCACUCCCGACAUUCUUCCAAAAAUGGAAGCAAAAGUGACGAACCAGCCAAAUGAGUUGAAAGUCCUAUAAUACUAUAAUACAUUUAAAAAAAAAACAUCCGCCGCCAGGGCACAAGGAUUCAAUCGCUUUGCAGUCGGGAAAUUAUACGAUUUACUGGAGGACGUACAGCAGAAAUACAACAUUCCAGUGAAUCCAGUGCAGACUAAAAAUUCCAAAAUCCUAGCAAUGCGGGGAAAAGGCAGAUGAAAGGCAGAAGGCUGGGUGCUGAGCACGGCAUAACGAUUAUAGAAUCUUCCACAGGACACCCUAUGUUGCUACUGUGGGACACAAUUCAGCUUCUCUAUGGACGGCGAUGGAUGGAACCAAUGCUAUCAAUGCCACUGACUGCACAGAUAUUCUCUGUUCCUGCUUUAAGUAACGUAAAAUUGUAGUCCAAUCACUUUGAUCACAUUGUUAUUCUUUGUACAUGCAAACUGAAUGAAAUCCAAUGAAAUAUACGUUAUUGUUAUAGUUAGAAUAAAUUUU